GACGAACGCUGGCGGCGUGCUUAACACAUGCAAGUCGAACGGAAAGGCCCUGCUUUUGUGGGGUGCUCGAGUGGCGAACGGGUGAGUAACACGUGAGUAACCUGCCCUUGACUUUGGGAUAACUUCAGGAAACUGGGGCUAAUACCGGAUAGGAGCUCCUGCUGCAUGGUGGGGGUUGGAAAGUUUCGGCGGUUGGGGAUGGACUCGCGGCUUAUCAGCUUGUUGGUGGGGUAGUGGCUUACCAAGGCUUUGACGGGUAGCCGGCCUGAGAGGGUGACCGGCCACAUUGGGACUGAGAUACGGCCCAGACUCCUACGGGAGGCAGCAGUGGGGAAUAUUGCACAAUGGGCGGAAGCCUGAUGCAGCAACGCCGCGUGCGGGACGACGGCCUUCGGGUUGUAAACCGCUUUCGCCUGUGACGAAGCGUGAGUGACGGUAAUGGUAAAGAAGCACCGGCUAACUACGUG
rnacentral:rRNA from 1 species